GAUGAACGCUGGCGGCGUGCCUAAUACAUGCAAGUCGAGCGAACAGACGAGGAGCUUGCUCCUCUGACGUUAGCGGCGGACGGGUGAGUAACACGUGGAUAACCUACCUAUAAGACUGGGAUAACUUCGGGAAACCGGAGCUAAUACCGGAUAAUAUAUUGAACCGCAUGGUUCAAUAGUGAAAGACGGUUUUGCUGUCACUUAUAGAUGGAUCCGCGCCGCAUUAGCUAGUUGGUAAGGUAACGGCUUACCAAGGCAACGAUGCGUAGCCGACCUGCGAGGGUGGUCGGCCACACUGGAACGGAGACGCGGUCCAUACGCCUACGGGAGGCAGCAGUAGGGAAUCGUCCGCAGUGGUCGAAAGCCUUACGGAGCAACGCCGCGUGAGAGAUGGAGGUCUUCGGAUCGUAAAACUCUGUUAUUAGUGAAGAACAAAUGUGUAAGUAACUAUGCACGUCUUGACGGUACCUAGUCAGAAAGCCACGGCUAACUACGUG
rnacentral:rRNA from 1 species